CAAACCAAACUACCAUCACAAAUUUACAAUUCAAAGCGGCACAACCAGCAGCAACAACAACAACAACGUUCUCUCUCUCUCUCUCUCACACACACACACUCUCUCUAUCUCUCUCUUCACACCACCAUUCACCACUCUUUCAUUUAAGAAACACAUAAACACGAGAAAUAUCACAAAGGGUAGGUGGAAGAUGAUGCAUCACUAAUAAACAACAACAACAAAAAUACGUUGUUUCCAACCUCACAUGUUUAUAUUUGCAGACACACAUAAGCUUCUUCCGUACACUGUUUUCUUAUACAACAACAAUGGCUUAUCUGGGGUUUUCUAUUCAGGUAAAAGAAUUGUCUUUCUAUUGUCAAUGGCUUUGUUUUUCUUUUUUUGUUGGUUCAUGAGGCAUUUUGCGUUGACGCCUUUAAAAACUUGGUCUUUUUCUUGUUUUGAAUUUUGGGUUUCUUUUGAAUUGUUGACUUUGUGGCUUUUGUGAUUUUUUUUGCUCAAUUGGGUUUGUUUUCCAAGGAAAAAGGGUGGUGGGGUUUAUGGUCUUGAGUCUUGCUAACGUAGAGAUAUUUUGUACUUCAUAUCAAGAAAGUGCUUUUAAGGGUUAAUUGUUUUCUUUUUCUCUCAAAUUUUGAUUUUUUUAAUGGUAUGAGUCUGUAGGGACUAAGAAUAAUCAUAUGUAAAUUAUGGUACCAACUUAAUUUUGUAAAAAAAAAAUGAUUUUUGUUGUUGUUGUUAGGGAAGUGUUUAUUGUUGGUGUGUUGAGAUGGGUUGGUGUUACUUUCUGAUGUGAUCAAAUUGGAAUUCUGAUUUGAAUGAUUGUUGAUAAUUUUUUUUUUUGGAUAGAAUAGUUGAAAUUGUAUGGUGAUUUGAUCAAGGUUUAUCUAACUUUUCUGUUAAUACUUUAUACUCUAUAUAAACACAUAUUUACACUAAAGCAUGAAGCCAUAAUCACUUUGAUUGCAAACUUUAGCUAAACCUAUCUAUUUGAAUGUAUUUCUCUUUGUUAAAUUCAUGUCUACAUUCAUGGAAUAAACAUUAUUCUUAUUGCAUUACUUGAUUUUGCUAAGAUUCUAUUAGCCAUUAUUCGUUGUUAGUAUAUUUGUUAUUUCUUGCUUUUGUUGACUGAUUGUAAAUACCUGAUAUAGUUGAAUUAUGAAUUACUUCCAUUUAUGUUUUUAACAAUGUUUUGCUGAUUUUGGAAAUGUUUUUUUUCCUUUAUAGUUUGACUUUAUUCGUUUCACUUAGCCGAAAAUCUUCUAUUUGUUUUAGGUACUCUACCUUUUGUAUUGAAGGGAAGUUGGUAUCAUAAGUAAACCACUUUGCUCUGAUAAUUGACUUGAAGUAACAAUGGUAAGCUUGAGAAGGCGUCGACUUUUGGGACUUUGCUCAGGUAAAUGUCGGAUAACAUAUACUUUUUCUCCUUUGGAAGUUUUGAAUCUGCUUCAUGAGUUGUGUCAAACGUUUAAUUGAUACUAUUUGUUAAUUUGAUCUUACCUUUUCCAGGAAACAAUUCAAUUGUCACUCCACUUCCUCUAUACUGUGAGAAUCUUGCUCGUAAUGAAAAUUCAAGUCAGAAUGCUAAUCAUAGGAGGGAACAAUCUAUGGUUAUGGAUAUCGCAAGCGUCCUCGACAGCGUAGGAACGCAAGUACUACUUUUAAAUUAUUGAAUUUUGCUCCUUUGAUGCUUUGUUUCUUGUAUCUAUAAGAUGUUAUUGUUUAAUACUAAAAUCAAGUCGAACAUUAAGAUUGAUUUCCAUCAAGUAUCAACUCAUAAAUGAAUUAGCAUUUAUGAUACACGUGUUCAUGAAUCCGUACAGAUAUUUACCUAGUUGAUAAAAUUAGAGAGUUAUUGUAUAUUCAUAUCCUAGAUAACUAGGAUCUUUCACUAAACUCUUCCGUUUGCGUUUCGCAGAAUUCCCAGAACACCAUUGUGAAAGAUGAAUCAGGGUCAUCAAAUGUGUCUGGUUCUAGCCCAUCGGAAGANNN
rnacentral:lncRNA from 1 species